rnacentral:rRNA from 1 species
CCUACGGGAGGCAGCAGUGAGGAAUAUUGGUCAAUGGACGCAAGCCUGAACCAGCCAUGCCGCGUGCAGGAAGACGGCUCUAUGAGUUGUAAACUGCUUUUGUACGAGGGUAAACGCAGAUACGCGUAUCUGUCUGAAAGUACCGUACGAAUAAGGAUCGGCUAACUCCGUGCCAGCAGCCGAGGUAAUACGGAGGAUUCAAGCGUUAUCCGGAUUUAUUGGGUUUAAAGGGUGCGUAGGCGGUCGGAUAAGUUAGAGGUGAAAUCCCGAGGCUCAACUUCGGAAUUGCCUCUGAUACUGGUCGGCUAGAGAGUAGUUGCGGUAGGCGGAAUGUAUGGUGUAGCGGUGAAAUGCUUAGAGAUCAUACAGAACACCGAUUGCGAAGGCAGCUUACCAGGCUACUUCUGACGUUGAGGCACGAAAGCGUGGGGAGCAAACAGGAUUAGAUACCCUUGUAGUC